rnacentral:rRNA from 1 species
UACAGAGGUCCCAAGCGUUGUUCGGAUUCAUUGGGCGUAAAGGGUGCGUAGGCGGCGGGGUAAGUCAGGUGUGAAAUCCCGGAGCUUAACUCCGGAACUGCACUUGAUACUGCCUUGCUCGAGUACUGGAGAGGAGACUGGAAUUUACGGUGUAGCAGUGAAAUGCGUAGAUAUCGGAAGGAAGACCAGUGGCGAAGGCGAGUCUCUGGACAGUUACUGACGCUGAGGCACGAAGGCCAGGGGAGCAAACGGG